GACCAAAGCCAUCAGCUUCAGGCAACAGGGGCUCUGAGAGGAGCAAGCAUCAAUGACACGGGAGGGAGACAGAGCCAGCGUGUCCAUGUGUCAUUGAACGGUCACAGCUACUAACCUCCAGCGCAAAGAAAGGGGACGGAAGAAGCAUCAGAUUUGACCCUACUGCUUCUCACAACUGAUGGCAACAUAACCGACCUCCGUGUGCCUUAUCCACGGCCCUUACUGCCGAAGUUUCUGGCUCGUCUGUCACUGGACAAUGCACUUACCUUCCAGGAAAGUUUCCAUCAAAGAAAUUUCCCAAAAUCAAAAUGUUUAAGACCUUUCUUCCCCUUGUACUAAUCGAACACACACUCUUUGGCCUUGGCCAACACACUUUGGUGACACCAGAACACAGACGCAGAAACCAUCGAUGACCGGGAGACUGUGGAAUGUGGCGUCAUGGACCACACAUGCAAACGGAUAGCAACUGAAGACACUUAGCACAUCUCAUGUGUGACAGACAGAUGCAGAUGUUUAUAAACAAGUGAUCACGUGGUAACGGGAUGGAACUGGCUCUGAGCCUGGCUCACCCUGGCUACAUCCGUGGAAAUUUCUCUGAUGGAGAGUGAAGUUCUAAAAGCCAACAUAAUUGAGCCAAGGAGCUGCCGAUUGCUCAGCCAGUCCCAACAAUAGAACUCAGCACGAUCCAUCGGCCACUUCUGAAGCUACUCUGCCUGCUGACAGUGGCUAGGUCCUGACAGCUUUAGGAAAUUAAAUUUCUGAUUUAAUUAAG
rnacentral:lncRNA from 1 species